rnacentral:rRNA from 1 species
GAUUGAACGCUGGCGGCAGGCCUAACACAUGCAAGUCGAACGGUAACAGGAAACAGCUUGCUGUUUCGCUGACGAGUGGCGGACGGGUGAGUAAUGUCUGGGAAACUGCCUGAUGGAGGGGGAUAACUACUGGAAACGGUAGCUAAUACCGCAUAACGUCGCAAGACCAAAGAGGGGGACCUUCGGGCCUCUUGCCAUCGGAUGUGCCCAGAUGGGAUUAGCUUGUUGGUGGGGUAACGGCUCACCAAGGCGACGAUCCCUAGCUGGUCUGAGAGGAUGACCAGCCACACUGGAACUGAGACACGGUCCAGACUCCUACGGGAGGCAGCAGUGGGGAAUAUUGCACAAUGGGCGCAAGCCUGAUGCAGCCAUGCCGCGUGUAUGAAGAAGGCCUGGUUGUAAGUACUUUCUAGCGGGGAGGGAAGGGAGGUAAAGUUAAU